GUGGGGAAUAUUGCGCAAUGGAGGAAACUCUGACGCAGCCAUGCCGCGUGAGUGAAGAAGGCCUUAGGGUUGUAAAACUCUUUCGCCAGGGAAGAUAAUGACGGUACCUGGUAAAGAAGCCCCGGCCAACUCCGUGCCAGCAGCCGCGGUAAUACGGAGGGGGCUAGCGUUGUUCGGAUUUACUGGGCGUAAAGCGCGCGUAGGCGGGCUGGUCAGUUGGGGGUGAAAUCCCGAGGCUCAACCUCGGAACUGCCCUCAAUACUGCCAGUCUUGAGUUCGAGAGAGGUAAGUGGAAUUCCUAGUGUAGAGGUGAAAUUCGUAGAUAUUAGGAAGAACACCAGUGGCGAAGGCGGCUUACUGGCUCGAUACUGACGCUGAGGCGCGAAAGCGUGGGGAGCAAACAGG
rnacentral:rRNA from 1 species